GAUGAACGCUGGCGGCGUGCCUAAUACAUGCAAGUCGAACGAAACUUCUUUAUCACCGAGUGCCUGCACUCACCGAUAAAGAGUUGAGUGGCGAACGGGUGAGUAACACGUGGGCAACCUGCCCAAAAGAGGGGGAUAACACUUGGAAACAGGUGCUAAUACCGCAUAACCAUAGUUACCGCACGGUAACUAUGUAAAAGGUGGCUAUACUACCGCUUUUGGAUGGGCCCGCGGCGCAUUAGCUAGUUGGUAGGGUAAAGGCUUACCAAGGCAAUGAUGCGUAGCCGAAUUGAGAGGUUGAUCGGCCACAUUGGGACUGAGACACGGCCCAAACUCCUACGGGAGGCAGCAGUAGGGAAUCUUCCACAAUGGGCGAAAGCCUGAUGGAGCAACGCCGCGUGGGUGAAGAAGGUCUUCGGAUCGUAAAACCCUGUUGUUAGAGAAGAAAGUGCGUGAGAGUAACUGUUCACGUUUCGACGGUAUCUAACCAGAAAGCCACGGCUAACUACGUG
rnacentral:rRNA from 1 species